rnacentral:rRNA from 1 species
UACGUAGGGGCAAGCGUUGUCCGGAAUCAUUUGGGCGUAAAGAGCGUGUAGGCGGCCUGGUAAGUCCGCUGUGAAAGUCCAGGGCUCAACCCUGGAAUGCCGGUGGAAACUGUCAGGCUCGAGUCCGGAAGAGGCGAGUGGAAUUCCUGGUGUAGCGGUGAAAUGCGCAGAUAUCAGGAGGAACACCAAUGGCGAAGGCAGCUCGCUGGGACGGUACUGACGCUGAGACGCGAAAGCGUGGGGAGCAAACAGG